GAGAUUAGCCUGAAUUAUUCAGGUGGGCCCAGUGUAAUCACAAGACUUCUUAAAAGAUGGAAGAGGAAGAAAAAUCAGUGUCAGGGGAUGCAAAGUGAAAAAAACCUCAACUUACUGUUUCUGGAUUUGUCAGAAGGGGGCCAAAGAAUAUGGGCAGCCUCUAGAGGCUAAAAAGGUAAGAAAAUGGAUUCCAGAGAGAAACAGCUUUGAUGACACCUUGAUUUUAGCCCAGUGAGACCUAUUUCAGCCAUCUGACUUCAAGAACUGUAAAAUUAUAAAUCUCUGUUUUGUCACUGUGUUCGUGGUAAUUAGAUUCAGCAGCCAUAGAGAACUAAUAUGGGGGUGGGAAAGGAUUGGGAUAGGGUGGUUCUCUAGCUCACUGGGCCCCUUCUGCUGAGAAGGUAGGAGACGUAUAAAACCUCUGAGUGAUUUUGUGAACAUAGACAAAAUAUUCAGUGGCUACAAGUCCCUGUGCCUAGUACCACAUUCUACCCGAGAGAGCAGGCAGGUGUGGCUGGCUGGCCUAACAGCCUAGGAAGCUGAUUCCUCUUGGAGGGGCAGCAAACACCAGUCUGCCUUUGAGAUCUGCUGAACCACAAGGAGACUGCACUUCACUCUCUCCAUGGACACCCAGACAAGCUCUUUUCAAUGAGAGCUUCCACCUCCUAUCAUUGUUCAAGCUCCUACCUUUAAAAAAAAAUACAUAUUUAUUUUUGGCUGCACUGGAUUUUUGUUGCUGUGGGAGCGCUUUCUCUAGUUGCCGUGAGCAGGAGCCGCUCUCUAGUUACGGUGGCUUCUCUUGCUGUGGAGCACAGGCUCUAGGCUUGUGGCCUUCAGGAGUUGCAGCCUAUGGGCUCGGAGGUUGUGGUGCAUCAGCUUAGCUGACUGGAGGCAUGUGGGAUCCUCCCGGAUCAGGGGUUGAAUCUGCAUCUCCUGCACCAGGUGGACUCCUAAUCACUGGACCACCAGCGAAGCCCCGAAGCUCCUACUUGGUGAACUUCCUUGGAUCUCAUGAAAACGCUUAGGAAUUAUUCCAAACUGCCAAUUGAAGGCCUCAACUAGAGGCUGAAGUUGCUGGAGGUCCUCCUCCAAAAGGCCAAGAGAGGAAGGAGCAAGGAAAGGGAAGAGUUCAAAACCAAACCAAACCACAAAAUAGCAGCUCUUCCUGUGGAAAUGUAGUGCUUUCCCCCUUAUUUUAAUAAUAUAAUUAUCAAGGUUAUCCAAAUAUUCAUUAUUGGAGUCCUUGUAGUUAGAAGAUUGUGGAGGGACAUGAAAGCCAUGAUAACACAAAAAUAUUUGUUCAUGAACACCCACCAUAAAUCCCACAAAGCCCUUUUUGGCUCAGUCUUCUGAUGACUGGGAUAUUAUAAACAUCUGACAGGACAAUGCAAGCUAUGCAAAUCUGUUUCAAAGUCAAAUUUCAAAUCUUGCAAAAGAUCAAGAAGAAUGAAGUUGGAAAAUUGCUCAAAUCAUAGCAAUGAAAAAUAGGGGCAUGACGGAGGUGCACCAGUUAACAACAGGAAAAAUUAAGAAUCAGCAGAGAUAGUGACCCCAGAGACACUUCAAAGGGAAACAUACACCUAUCAACCACUAUGAGAAGCCUUUGGGAAAACUCAUGAAGCACUUGCAUACUUUUGGAUAAAUGUCCUUUCAAAUAAGAUUGGCCAUGAAAGUAAAAUACAAAGCAAAAAAGGCAGUGCUGUUGUACAAAUAUUUUGAAAUUUUUUUCCCCAAAAUGAAUGGCUCGUCUUUUUCAGUCUAAGAUUGUGUAUUUGUAAUUAUAACUGAAAUUGCAUUUAGUAUAAGAUUUUAAAAGCUUAAUUUCAUAAUUUUCAGUUUUAUUUCUCAAGUUCAAGCCCCAAACAACCCUUUCUCCCACCUUCUGUUUGUUGUAAAUGUUCUGUCUUAAGUAGUUUCCUAUUAAGAGGUUGUACCAGAAUUAUACAGUAAUGAAGACCUUCUGCUCCUAAAACCCCAGUCUGAAGUACAUUCUUUGCAUAUGGAGAGCUUCUUUGAGAUCAGAACCAAAGGAGACACUUGAUUGACACCUGCAUGACCCAGAGGGUCACUAUGGGGAAUCCCAGGACCCGGUCUCAGGGAUCCCCACUAUGAGAUUUUAAGUGACACACACACAAAAUGUAUAUCCCCUGUAUUAUUAUUAUUAUUUUUUAAUGUCUGUUAUUUGCAUCUUCUCUGCCUGGAAACCAAACUUCCUCCCUGUUCAGUGAAAUACCAGGUGCUGGUCUUCCCUGCUGGAGGCCCCUUCCUGGCUUCCCAGUCUCUGCCCAGCCUUAGCCUUGAAGGCCUCUGAGGCAGAAGGAGGAUUCCAGCCCCCAAAAAAUGACGAAACACCGGACGCCCAGC
ensembl:lncRNA